UGGACAUUCGUGUUCUUUUUCAUUCACUCAAGCCAAUACUCCAUGUACAUGAGACAAGAAUUGUACAAACCCUAAUAUUUCUUUAAACCAAAUAUAGUUAAAGUCUUUUUAUGUUUAUUAUCCGUAAUACAACAUUUUCCCUAUAUGGCCUUAGGAUGAAGUAUGAAAAAAGAAGUGGCAACGUCAUCCUUUACACUUUACAGCCUGAUUACAUCAUCGCUUUGAUUGAUCUUGUAACAAGCUCAGUGGCUGUAAAGCACAAUGACAAGUAAGCAAAACAAGAUUUUAAACUAAAGAGAGGCAUGCGUUGCAGUUGAUCAAGACACGAUCAGAAUGACAAGAAGUUCUGAUGGAUCUCAAAAUCCACUUCAGAAAUUAGGUUUAGGGUUUCGUUACCUGUACAAGAAGGAAUGUAGACUAUGUAUCGAUGAUUCUGUAUAAAGAAGUGUUUUAUUGAUGAUACGAGCAGAAAACAAGUACGAAUACAAAAGAUAUCUAAGAACAAAAAAGUAUGUAUGUAUUGAAAGUAUAGUAUUACUCUAUGAGAAUUCAGUCCUUCUUCUUGUCUUUGGUCUUGUUUUUAUAGGCCUUCAAGGUUGAAUCAUAAUGGCCUCGUAAUCUAUGGCUGUUAUCAUGGCCAUUAAUGAUGUUGCUUUUGAUUCUCUUUCAGCUCAGGUUUGAUUAUGUGAUUUUUUUUAAUGUUACGUUUAAAAUUUUAUCUGUCGGUAACCUUC
rnacentral:lncRNA from 1 species